UCCCCCCCCCCCCCUCCAAAUGAGCUUCUCUUAACGUCACAUGAUGUCAACACCACAACCUUCAACUUGGCUUUUAUUUAUUCUUUUUCUUUGUCUAUAUUAAAUUAUAUUUCCCUGCUGUAGCCUUGAACUAGUUUUCUAUCAAGUGUCAAAACGUGUUACGUAAUUGGAAGGCUGACACACUGACCUACAUUAUGUGAACGACAUUGAUGUGUCUACAAGGAUGUGACAAUGAUCAUUAAAGUAAAUUUCCCCUUUCAGAUUAAAAAUGUUGUAUCCAACAAGAUGACUUUUUUUUAAGGGAUGGCCUCACCACCAGAUCCUUGCGAUCUAUAGGGCAGAUGAUGUUAAGGUCAUCUGUUGUUGUUUUUUUGGGGCCAACGGUUAACGACCUAUCGCCAUUACUUUCCCCAAAAUAAAAUCAGGCACCCAUUAGACUCAUGGGCCCCCUAAAAAUCCCAAAAUGUCAAAUUCCAGUCUUCACUGCGAUUCGAACCAAGGACCCCAGGUUCGGAGGCUAAACGCUUAACCAUUUAGCCACAGUGCCCCCCCCCC